CUUAAUCUUCAAUUGAAACAACUAGAAGAUAACAAUUUGUUUGAACUCCAUAUCUUCAGCAAAGUGGAUUCUGGUUUAGGAUGGGGAUUUUUAUCAAGACAGAACCAGUUUCACUUCUAUUUUAUCUUUGACUGAAGUACGGUGAAGUCACUGAAGUAUACAAUAUUGGUCAGAAACCUCAUCAGUAAGUAAUUGCAAAUAAAAACAUUCCAAUGAGAGUUUUAUCUUUUCACCUUCUAUUCAAAAGUCAAAUAUAAUGCUGUCUAUCAGACUGCAGAAUAUUAUCGGGGAGAAGAUGAGAAUGCUCAUGUGUUAAAUUAGGUGCCAAAGGCAUCCGUUGUACAAACGUACCACAGAACAACCUGAGAGUGAAAAAAUACAUGCCAGGAACAUGAGACCUAUGUAUGUAGCCUCAAGUUGUGCCAGGGGAGAUUCAAGUUGGAUGUUAGAAAAUACUACUUCUCUGAAAGAGUGGUCAGGUGCUGGAAUGGGCUGCUCAGGGAGGUGGCGGAGUCACUGACCCUGGAGGUAUUCAAGGAACGUUCAGAUGUUGUGCUGAGGGACACGGUCUAAUGAGAACUAUUGGUGAUAGGUGGACAGUUGGACUGGAUGAUCUCAGAGGUCUUCUCCAACCUCAGUGAUUCUACGACUCCAUGACAAGCAGGAUGCAGAACUUUAGCUCUGACUAUAAUGUUUCCCCGGUGAACCAAAAAACAUGUGAGAAGACAGUGCUUUAGAUAGCUUUUUCAUUAUUUUACAUACGGAUUAUUUUGGAAGCACAGUCUUGCUGUCAUAAAACAGACUACCAUGCCUCUUCUCUUUGCAUUGUAAACAUUUUGCAGCUGGUUAGCUGAUCUUCAUUGAGUUCUCAGACAAAAGAAAUGCACUACUCCUAAAUCCUCUGGUUACUGACUUCUUUAGGCUGCUUCUCUCUGGAGAAGUCACAUCAUAGAAGUGUAGUGCAUGCAAGCAUGGUAUCUGAGUGAGCAAGCUAACAGUCAUACAGUAUAGCCUUACAAACCAACUCUUCAGAGCUGCCUCACUGUCAUCAUAAGCUCUGCUCCAUCUUCGCUGGAGUAAAAAACAACAGCUUAAAUAUUUGUGAACUGCACAAAUACAGAAGUCUUAAGAAGUCACAGAUUGAGCUUGAGUUCCUAUGUAGAAAUUAAAAAAGUAACACAGGAAAACAUCAUAGUAUUUUCUGCAUUGUAAAUGUAUUAAAUGUAAUGCAAAGAGACAGACAGCAAUAGGUAUGUCAAGAUUCAAUCAGAACCGCUAACUGAACUGAUUUUCUCUUGGACUUAUAGGCUUUUUUCAAGGCCAUUUUUUUUUUCCAGAGGAAAAUAUUCAUUAGUUACAAGUAGUGCUGCUGUAUCUUUUUAAAUUACUUAUUAUCGUGCAAGAGAGGAGUUAGCUGAGUCACCAAAUGCAGGUUUCAGUUAUGCCCACGAGAUGCAGUCUAGUAAUAUGUUCAUGGAUUGACAGACUAUGUUCAGAUUUGGCCUAUAUUUUGACUGUAACUAUUUACUAUUUCUGUUCUAAAGACACAAAACAAUUGUUGAUAAGCUUAAUUUUAUACUUAGCACAUUAGGGUAAUAAAUAACUUCAAGGAGCCAUUAAUAAAGUAAUAGAAAUUAUGUAUCUGCAUAUUUUCCCUCAACAUGCAUGGAAAAAAUAAAUGAAAACGUGCAAGAAUUCUUCUACUAAAGAGACUGAAGAAAAGAUGCUUUGGGUUUUCUGUGGUUCACUGCAUUAUGCAUAUGAGUGGAACCUAUUGGAGGUGAAAAGAAUUGGGUACUGACAUAAAGAAUUCAGUGGAAUGCAGAGACUGGAAAGGCUUGUCACAUUUGUUCAUCAGUGUAUAUAUAACGCAAUGACUCGAGAGUAUGUCAAAAUGUCUUCCAAAGCAACGUGUACAGAGAGGACAGAAAAUUAAGCAGUAACUGCUGUUCUGUGAAGCAGACAGGAGAGCAUUCCCUCCUCUAACUUUCAUGCUCUCAACAACAAAAAAAUCCCAAAACGCUAUGUGCUCCCCUGAGAUCUGAAAGCAGAACAUAAUAUUUGGCAGUUUCAGGUGAAGUGUGAAGAAUGAUUUUGAUUGCAGUGGUCAGAAUUCCCUCAUACUCAUUACUCCAGCAAUUUUCAGAAAUGCUUUAAAUGUUAUGCAACAAAUUAAAAACAAAAAAUAAGACUACCUGUGCUGAAAGUAUAAGCAGAUUUUUGACUGUCAGAGCUGUGUAUUAGAAACUUGUCAGCUGAUAUCAGUAGAGGCAAGUAUACUGUUAGCAGAAGCAAGAAAACACAAUUAACCCAUGUGCACUGAUACAUGCACAGCUGUGGGAUUCACACAGUGUAUUUGUUUGUGCCUUAUGACAUCUCUAUUACAAUUUAUGUCAGUAUCAGUAGCUUUUUGAGUAAUUAUGAGACUCACAAGAUCUCGAGUUAAUUCUGAUAAAUGAGAUACACUUUGUGAGCUCUCUGAUAGGAUGGGCAAAUCACCAAGUGCCUUGAAAUACAUACUGCACUUUUUCCAAAGUCACAUCUGAAUGUGACUUGUUCACUGUUCAGUUUCCAAGUGUAUGUUUGUGUUAUGGGUUCUUACCUAUAUCAUUCAAAGGAAGAGAAAUACAUAAAAUUCCAGGCUAUUAUGGUCUGAGCCCUAUUCUAUUUCCUUUUCCCAGUUUUGUUUCACGUUGGAUGUUCAUUGCCUCUGCCUUGCAGAAGUUGUCAUCAGCAGGGACUUGCCAGCACCAUGUGGGUGGUGAGAAGGGCUUCCAAGAACUGAGGGGGGGAUGUGGUGUCCCAUUCUCCAUUAUCUGACACUUCUGGCAUCCAUGCAGCCAGCUGGAAGGGCU
ensembl:lncRNA